ensembl:lncRNA
GUGUGGGAGUGCUCUUGACCAUACCUGCCAGCCUUUGUAGCACUGCUUUGGUGGAUGUUUCACAUCUUGAAGCAUAGCUCCACUGCAGUUUGGGUGAAGGAGCAAGAGCAAGACUGCAGCUAGGCCCUACAAUACUUGAGAGACGUUGUCUGUGCUGGGAGGGGGAACAAACUUGCAGGAUGCUGUGAGUUUAACAUGUUAAUAGGUAUUUCAUGUAUGACCUACUGAGGCUCCUGGCCAGGUCCUGUGGCUCUUCUGCAGAGAAGGCUGCUGACUCCUUUCCAGCUCCUGAGGAAUGCCUGCCUGCAUAGUCCAAAAUCUUGCUCUGAAAUUUCACAGGACCAGCACAGGUAAAAUUCUCCCGUGUUGAAAACACUUAAGCAAGGAGGUCUUGAGAUACAGCCCUCUUCUCCCCAUCCUCAGACUUUCUUUGUCCAUAUCCUUGUUACCUGCCCCAAAAGACAAAUGAAGGGAACCAGCUCCACUUCUCUGAUCCUUUUCUCUUGGUGUGUUGAGAACCAGAUCUUUGUCCAAGGGAAGUCCAAAAAGGCUGCAGGAUGUCUUCAAAUUGAAAAGAAGAUGGGCUAAGGACUUUUGGCAUAGGAAUGAUGAAAAAUAUGGAUGGGAUCAUGCCACAGAAAAGUCUAAAAAAUGAGUUGAUCAAAUGGAUGAGCUUUCUUCACAGUGAAGGAGCCUCUAAGCAAGGGUUUUUGAGAGGUGUGUUGAGGGUCCCAGGGAAGAGCUCAGUAAGUUAAAUAUUGACAGCCCUAUUCAUUGCUUGACACUUACACUUUGCAGUGCUUACUGAUGUGGAAAGGUGGGACCUGUUGUGCUUGGUGCUGUACAGAGCAAGGAAAAUUGAAAAUUGCCUUUGCAAAGACCUUGAAGUUGUAAUGAAUAAGGAGUAUGCAAAUGUGCCUGUAGCUUCUGGAGCAAGGAGCUUCACUGUGAAGGAAUGAAGGUAAACAAGAACAGCUUUAAUUUGUUACAAUGAACUGAUGAGAUACUCUGGUGGGGUGAACGGUGAGAGUUCAUUUCAAAAGACAGAAGGUGUGGUGGUGCAGAGCUUUUGACUGUUGUAUAAACUGAUCAGGAUGUAGGCUCUACUGCUAAUCUGACAUUGCAGCAAGCAGUUUUUGGUUCCAGAAGUUAAGCAACUUCUCCUGUGGGGAUUAUUUAGGAGGUGGAGACCAGAGGGAGAUGUGCAGAUAACACUGCAUAUAAUGGCAUAUCUCACAUUUUUGAGUUCUUCAUGUUGGAGUAAGCAGUCAUUCAGUGGUGUUUGGUAAGAUUUUCAUCUCCCAGGGUUGCUGCUGAGCUUAAAGCAGCUUGAGAAAGAUAAUUGCACAGUGUGAAGGGAAGGAAAAAGUUCUGAGCAGGCAGCAAGACGAAAGUACAUGUCUCCUGCACAAUGGGGAGGGGGAAGAUAUUUCACCAGGAAAAGAAGGGUGAUGUGUGAGAAAUCUUUGUAGUUAGCUUGUGAGAACUGGAAUAGGAAGAAGCUAUGUGACCAGGGCAAGAAAAAAAGUCUGUGAUAAGUCCUCUGAACGUGUGAUAGCAAGAAAAGGCUAUAAAGAUGAAAAGACAAGAGUAACCAACAAAAUUAGAGGGACCAGGGUACUGGAAACUCACAGCAUAGAUAUCUUUACAAAUGUUUCCACCUGAAGAUGAGCAGUAGGAGUCUUUGGUACAUAACAGGCUGACAUCUUGUUGGAAGACAGAAGUUGCUAUAUGUAGUCUCUGGAUGUGGAGGAACCAUUGCUCAGGCAGAUGUGGCCUGGUAAGGGCAGAUAAUUUGAAUUGCAUAGCUGGUGGUACUGCCUCCAUGGUCUGAGUCUCCACAGAUUUUGAAACACAGGGUAUAGUCUUUGGCAUGAGUGAAUUACAAAAAUGGCACAUCUGAGGUAGUUACCAAUACUGACACAUGGCCUCGUGGUCUCCUUACUGUGAGUAAGGAGAGGCUAAUGAGCUCAUGUGUCUCUGUGACAGGUUGCUCUUGUUUCUUCCAGUGUAAAUCAUCGUGGUCUUUUAUUACCUCCAUUGUUGGUUUUGCCCAGUUGCUUAGAUUUGUUUUGUUCCCCUAGGCUUUGGUACUGUUGUCUGCAUCAUUUUCUGUCAGCAGCAGAUUUUGCCACUAAACAGUUCCCAAAAUCAAAAUCCAUAACCUUUCCAGGGAAGGGGCAGGAGGAGAAAGUCAGAUACAAUAUGUGCAUUUAAAAGCUAUGGUAGUAUGUGAGAAAACUUCCUGACAAAGCUACAUUAGGAGAAACAAAGAGAGAAGACUACAAACUAGCUUUUCUCCCAUGCCAAGAGACUUGCUAGCAAGUCACAGGUGGUCACAGCAGGAGCAUGGGAAGAGCAUGAUUAUGAUGGGAUGUGGUGACAGCUUGUGUGCACUUGCACAUUUCACCUGCUUGUUUUUUCCCAGCUGUUCUUAAAAUAUUUUACACAGCUUUCUAUUUUGUUCAGGUAGAGUGCAAAUUGGGAAUCACCAGAGUGCAAAGCCCACUUUGACUGCUUGACUGUGCUUUACUAAACCUCCUACUGUCCUUUACUUUGAACAUGGUCCCCCUAGGGGAAGCUGGCCUUGCUGCAGUAAUCCUUUCUCAUGGCACGGACCUACUGAAGUGACUCGUGAGGGUAUUCAGUGAAGAUCAACGAUCUGAGAGUGCUCCCUUCAAAUUGUAAAUACUCCAAACUGCUGGCUUGCUUCUUCUCAGGAGAAAGAAAACAGGUGUUUUUCACGUGAGAAAUGAGCUGGCAACUAACCUCUUAUUAGAGGACACUUGUUGCUUGUUGGAGCUGGUCACCUGAGAAUGAGAGCUGUGCUUGUGUGUUGGGCAGAAGCGUCUCUAGUUGCUCUGUUGGAUAUUCCACGAGGAGAGGAAGGAAUCUCCUUCAACUCUGCAUAUGGAUAUUCUGAAGCAUAAAAUGGAAUAAAGGCAUUUUGUCUUGAAUGCA